GAUGAACGCUAGCUACAGGCUUAACACAUGCAAGUCGAGGGGAAACGAUAGAGAAAGCUUGCUUUUUCUAGGCGUCGACCGGCGCACGGGUGAGUAACGCGUAUCCAACCUGCCCACCACUUGGGGAUAACCUUGCGAAAGUAAGACUAAUACCCGAUGACGUCUCUAGAAGACAUCUGAAGGAGAUUAAAGAUUUAUCGGUGAUGGAUGGGGAUGCGUCUGAUUAGCUUGUUGGCGGGGUAACGGCCCACCAAGGCGACGAUCAGUAGGGGUUCUGAGAGGAAGGUCCCCCACAUUGGAACUGAGACACGGUCCAAACUCCUACGGGAGGCAGCAGUGAGGAAUAUUGGUCAAUGGACGAGAGUCUGAACCAGCCAAGUAGCGUGCAGGAUGACGGCCCUAUGGGUUGUAAACUGCUUUUAUAAGGGAAUAAAGUGGGAGUCGUGACUCUUUUUGCAUGUACCUUAUGAAUAAGGACCGGCGUAAUUCCGUG
rnacentral:rRNA from 1 species